rnacentral:rRNA from 1 species
CGAACGGGUGAGUAACGCGUGAGGAACCUGCCUCAAAGAGGGGGACAACAGUUGGAAACGACUGCUAAUACCGCAUAAGCCCACGGCUCGGCAUCGAGCAGAGGGAAAAGGAGCAAUCCGCUUUGAGAUGGCCUCGCGUCCGAUUAGCUAGUUGGUGAGGUAAUGGCCCACCAAGGCGACGAUCGGUAGCCGGACUGAGAGGUUGAACGGCCACAUUGGGACUGGGACACGGCCCAG